rnacentral:rRNA from 1 species
AUAAUGCAGUCGAGCGAACAGAUAAGGAGCUUGCUCCUUUGACGUUAGCGGCGGACGGGUGAGUAACACGUGGGUAACCUACCUAUAAGACUGGGAUAACUUCGGGAAACCGGAGCUAAUACCGGAUAACAUUUGGAACCGCAUGGUUCUAAAGUGAAAGAUGGUUUUGCUAUCACUUAUAGAUGGACCCGCGCCGUAUUAGCUAGUUGGUAAGGUAACGGCUUACCAAGGCGACGAUACGUAGCCGACCUGAGAGGGUGAUCGGCCACACUGGAACUGAGACACGGUCCAGACUCCUACGGGAGGCAGCAGUAGGGAAUCUUCCGCAAUGGGCGAAAGCCUGACGGAGCAACGCCGCGUGAGUGAUGAAGGGUUUCGGCUCGUAAAACUCUGUUAUUAGGGAAGAACAAACGUGUAAGUAACUGUGCACGUCUUGACGGUACCUAAUCAGAAAGCCACGGCUAACUACGUGCCAGCAGCCGCGGUAAUACGUAGGUGGCAAGCGUUAUCCGGAAUUAUUGGGCGUAAAGCGCGCGUAGGCGGUUUCUUAAGUCUGAUGUGAAAGCCCACGGCUCAACCGUGGAGGGUCAUUGGAAACUGGGAAACUUGAGUGCAGAAGAGGAAAGUGGAAUUCCAUGUGUAGCGGUGAAAUGCGCAGAGAUAUGGAGGAACACCAGUGGCGAAGGCGACUUUCUGGUCUGUAACUGACGCUGAUGUGCGAAAGCGUGGGGAUCAAACAGGAUUAGAUACCCUGGUAGUCCACGCCGUAAACGAUGAGUGCUAAGUGUUAGGGGGUUUCCGCCCCUUAGUGCUGCAGCUAACGCAUUAAGCACUCCGCCUGGGGAGUACGACCGCAAGGUUGAAACUCAAAGGAAUUGACGGGGACCCGCACAAGCGGUGGAGCAUGUGGUUUAAUUCGAAGCAACGCGAAGAACCUUACCAAAUCUUGACAUCCUUUGAAAACUCUAGAGAUAGAGCCUUCCCCUUCGGGGGACAAAGUGACAGGUGGUGCAUGGUUGUCGUCAGCUCGUGUCGUGAGAUGUUGGGUUAAGUCCCGCAACGAGCGCAACCCUUAAGCUUAGUUGCCAUCAUUAAGUUGGGCACUCUAGGUUGACUGCCGGUGACAAACCGGAGGAAGGUGGGGAUGACGUCAAAUCAUCAUGCCCCUUAUGAUUUGGGCUACACACGUGCUACAAUGGACAAUACAAAGGGCAGCUAAACCGCGAGGUCAUGCAAAUCCCAUAAAGUUGUUCUCAGUUCGGAUUGUAGUCUGCAACUCGACUACAUGAAGCUGGAAUCGCUAGUAAUCGUAGAUCAGCAUGCUACGGUGAAUACGUUCCCGGGUCUUGUACACACCGCCCGUCACACCACGAGAGUUUGUAACACCCGAAGCCGGUGGAGUAACCAUUUAUGGAGCUAGCCGUCGAAUG